AACAGGAUAUUGUUGACAGGAUGUUACAUUCUGGUUGGGUCACCCAGAUGCUGAGAAAGAAUUUUUGACGGCUGUUAGGUUUAUUUAAGUUAACAGUUGUCUGAUUCUAGGGACUGUUAGCAGCUGUAAGGACCUGUAACAGAGCGCUUUCUUCCACAGCAGUAUAUUGUUGACAGGAUGUUACAUUCUGGUUGGGUCACCCAGAUGCUGAGAAAGAAUUUUUGACGGCUGUUAGGUUUAUUUAAGUUAACAGUUGUCUGAUUCUAGGGACUGUUAGCAGCUGUAAGGACCUGUAACAGAGCGCUUUCUUCCACAGCAGUAUAUUGUUGACAGGAUGUUACAUUCUGGUUGGGUCACCCAGAUGCUGAGAAAGAAUUUUCGACGGCUGUUAGGGUUUUGGGAAGGUAAUUGUUAGCAAUCGUUCAAUUCACUUAAGCUGUUAAGCGGUGCCAAGGGCUGUAGUUGCUAACAGGCCUUGANN
rnacentral:lncRNA from 1 species